UAGUAAAGUCAGCUAAUAAAGCUUUUGGGCCCAUACCCCAAAAAUGUUGGUUCAACCCCCUCCUUUACUAA
rnacentral:tRNA from 12 species